UUGAAGUGAAGGUUUAUUUUACAUUAACUAAUUAAUCAUAUAAUGUUUGGAACUCUUAUUUGCGCAUUUCUUAUUUGCCCAUAAGUUAAGGGCAAAAGUAGUAUUUUAAUUUUUUUUAACAGUGGUAGAUAUUUAACUCAUGUUUAAUCCAAAUUAUCUUAAUAGGUGGUAACGACAAAGGUAUUUUGAAAUAACGGAGGAACAAAGAGGAAUAUAUUGGAAAGAAAAAAAAAUAGAAGUAAAUAAAAUAUUUUGAAGGAUUGAGGGUAUACGGGCAAUUAUCCCUUAGU
rnacentral:lncRNA from 1 species